UUAAAUUAAGAACUGAGACUCCAGG
rnacentral:piRNA from 1 species